rnacentral:rRNA from 1 species
UACGGGGGGGGCAAGCGUUGUUCGGAAUUACUGGGCGUAAAGGGCUCGUAGGCGGCCAACUAAGUCAGACGUGAAAUCCCCCGGCUUAACCUGGGAACUGCGUCUGAUACUGGAAGGCUUGAGUUCGGGAGAGGGUAACGGAAUUCACGGUGUAGCAGUGAAAUGCGUAGAUAUCGUGAGGAACACCAGAGGCGAAGGCGGUUACCUGGACAGUUACUGACGCUCAGGCACGAAAGCAUGGGGAGCAAAAGGG